ACUCCGAAUUAGAUGACAAAACGGUCCGAAAGUGGGAAAAAUUUGUGAUGGUGGCUAGAAAUUGAUGGAAACGGUGGGAAAAAAUACACGAAUUGGACUCUAACAAGACCUAACCAACAACAAGACCUUGACUAGGACACAAACUCAACACUGCAGACUCUGAAACUGAAAUAUGCAAAGGCUAUGACGCGGAAGGGUUGUAGGUCAAGAAAACGAUAUGGCACUGGACUUAUGGGACGAACACAAGAGCACUCGGAACUAAGGGUAGAUGUGAACUUAACGGUAUACCUGAAGCUUUGAUUACCACUUGAUGAGAACAAGAGUGGCCCGAUCUUCCGAAAGGUUAUGGUAACUCUCGAUUUGGCGGAGACGAGACACAAAUCGAUUCGGCUUCGAAACAACACAAUCCAAAAUCCUACUAUUUUUUAUUUUUUUAUAUUUUUCUCUGACUUAGGAGCAAUAAAGAAGUAACCGCAGAAAAUUUGGGCUUAAACAAGUGAAAGACGUGGCCUGCAGAAAUUUCUGAAGAUUGUGAAAAAUGUGAAAAAAAUUCACGAGGUGAAAACUCAAACUUCAGAGGUGAAUUUGGAGAUUCUAAAAUUUUCAAACCCACCAAUGCUAGAGACAGACAGAUCCAAAUUUUUUCUGAUCGAUUUUGAUAUAUGGAACAUUGAAAUCGGAGUUCGUAUGUGAAAGUUAUGGUUGUUUUACGAAUGGACUACGAAUUAGAGGACAAAACGGUCCGAAAGUGGGAAAAAUUUUCGGCGGUGGCUAGAAAUUGAUGGAAACGGUGGGGAAAAAUACACGAACUAGACUCUAAUAAGACCUAACCAACAACAAGACCUCGACCAGGACACAAACUCGACACUGCGGACUAUGAAACUAAAAUAUGCAAAGGCUCUGGCACGGAAGGUUGUAGGACAGGAAAACGAUAUGGCACUGGACUUAUAGGACGAACACAAGAACACACGAAACUAAGGGUAGAUGUGAACCUAACAAUAUAUCUGAAGCUUUGAUUACCACUUGAUGGGAACAAGAGUGGCCCGAUAUUCUGAAAGGUUCUGGUAACUCUCGAUUUGGCGAAGACGAGACACAAAUCGAUCCGGCUUCCAAACAACACGAUUCGAAAUCCUGCAAUUUUAUUUUAUUUUUUUGAUAUUUUUCUUUUACUUAGGAGCAAUAAAGAAGUAACCAUAGAAAGUUUGAGGUUAAACAAGUGAAAGACGUGGCCUGCGGAAAUUUCUGAAAAUUGCAAAAAAUGUGAAAAAAAUUCACGAGGUGAAAACUCAAACUUCAGAGGCGAAUUUGGAGAUUCUAAAAUUUUCAAACCCACCAAUGGUAGAGACAGACAGAUCCAAAUUUUUUCUAAUCGAUUUUGAUAUAUAUGGAACAUUGAAAUCGGAGUUCGUAUGCGAAAGUUAUGGUUGUUUUACGAGCAAACUCCGAAUUAGAGGACAAAACAGUCCGAAAGUGGGAAAAAUUUGCGGCGGCGGCUAGAAAAUGAUGGAAACGGUGGGGAAAAUGCACAAACUGGACUCUAACAAGACCUCACCAGCAACAAGACCCUAACUAGGACACAAACUCGACACUAUGGACUCUGAAACUGAAAUAUGCAAAGGCUAUGGCGCGGAAGGGUUGUAGGACAGGGAAACGAUAUGGCACUGGACUUAUGGGAUGAACAUAAGAACACUCAAAACUAAGGGUAGAUGUGAACCUAACGGUAUACCUGAAGCUUUGAUUACCAUUUGAUGAGAACAAGGGUGGCCCGAUCUUCUGAAAGGUUCUGGUAACUCUCGAUUUGGUGGAGAUGAGAUACAAAUCGAUCUUGCUUCCGAACAACACGAUCCGAAACCCUACAAUUUUUUUAUUUUUUUGAUAUUUUUCUUUUACUAAGGAGCACUAAAGAAGUAACCACAUAAAAUUUGAGCCUAAACAAGUGAAAGCCGUGGUCGGUGGAAUUUUCUAAAAAUUGCAAAAAAUAUGAAAAAAACUUCAUGAGAUGAAAACUCAAAGUUCGUAGGUGAAUUUGGAGAUUCUAAAAUUUUCAAACCCGCCUUUGGCGGGGACAUACAGAUCUGAAAUUUUUUCUGAUCGAUUUUGAUAUAUGGAAUGUUGAAGUCGGAGUUCAUAUGCAAAAGUUAUGGCUAUUUUACGAAUAGACUCCGAAUUGGAGGACAAAACACUGUGUAAGUGGGAAAAAUUUGCGGCAGUGGCUAGAAAUUGAUGAAAAAUGUUGGGAAAAAACACACGAACUGGAUUCUAACAAGAUCUAACCAGCAACAAGACCUCGACCAGGACAUAAACUCAACACUACGGACUCUGAAACUGAAAUAUGCAAAGGCUAUGGCGUGGAAGGGAUGUAGGACAGGAAAACGAUAUCGCACUGGACUUAUGGGACAAACACAAGAACACUCGAAACUAAGGGUGAUGUCUAAUGGUAUACCUGAAGCUUUGAUUACCACUUGAUGAGAAUAAGGGUGGCCAAUUUUCCGAAAGGUUCUCGUAACUCGCGAUUUGGUGGAGACGAGAUACAAAUUGAUCCGACUUUCGAACAACAUGAUCCGAAACCCUGCACUUUUUUUAAUUUUUUUGAUAUUUUUCUUUUACUUAGGAGCACCAAAAGAAGUAACCACAAAAAAUUUAAGCUUAAACAAGUGAAAGACGUGACCUGCGGAUUUUUCUAAAUAUUGCAAAAAUGUGAAAAAAACUUCACGAGGUGAAAACUCAAACAUUGGAGGCGAAUUUGGAGAUUCUAAAAUAUUCAAACCCACCUUUGGAAGGGACAGACGGAUCCGAAAUUUUUUCUGAUUGAUUUUGAUAUAUGGAACGUUGAAAUCGGAGUUCGUAUGCGAAAGUUAUGGCUAUUUUACGAAUGGACUCCGAAUUAGAGGACAAAGCGGUCGGAGAGUGGGAAAAAUUUGCGGCAGUGGCUAGAAUUUGAUGGAAAACGGUGGGGAAAAACACACGAACUGGACUCUAACAAGACCUAACCAGCAACAAGACCUCGACCAAGACACAAACUCAAUACUGCGGAUUCUGAAACUGAAAUAUGCAAAGGCUAUGGUGCGGAAGGGAUGUAGGAGAGGAAAAUGAUAUGGCACUAGACUUGUGGGACGAACACAAGAACACUCGAAACUAAGGGUGAUGUGAACCUAACGGUAUACCUGAAGCUUUGAUUACCACUUGUUGAGAACAAGGGUGGCCCGAUCUUCCGAAAGGUUCUGGUAACUCUCGAUUUGGUGGAGACGAUAUACAAACAUAUCCGGCUUCCGAACAACAUGAUCCAAAACCUUGCAAUUUUUUAAUUUUUUUGAUAUUUUUCUUUUACUUAGGAGUACUAAAGAAGUAACCACAAAAAAUUUUUUUUGACACAACUUUGAUAUAUGGAAUAUUGAAAUCGGAGUUCGUAAGUGAAAGUUAUGGCUAUUUUACGAAUGGGAUCCGAAUUAGAGGAUAAUACGGUUCGAAAAUGGGAAAAAUUUGCGGCGGUGGCUACAAAUUGAUGGAAAACGGUGGGGAAAACACACGAACUGGACUCUAACAAGAUCUAACCAGCAACAAGACCUCGACCAGGACACAAACUCAACACUGCAUACUCUCAAACUGAAAUAUGCAAAGGCUAUGACGCUGAAGGGUUGUAGGACAGGAAAACGAUAUGGCACUGGACUUACGGGACGACCACAAGAACAUUAGAAACCAAAGGUAGAUGUGAACCUAAUGGUAUACCUGAAGCUUUGAUUAUCACUUGAUGAGAGCCAAGGUGACCUGAUCUUAUGAAAUGUUCUGGUAACUCUCGAUUUGGUGGAGACGAGAUACAAAUCGAUUCGGCUUCCAAACAACACGAUCCAAAACCCUGCAUUUUUUAAUUUUUUUUGAUAUUUUUCUUUUACUUAGGAGCACUAAAGAAGUAACCACAGAAAACUUGAGCUUAAACAAGUGAAAGACAUGGCCUGCGGAAUUUUCUGAAGAUUGCGAAAAAUGUGAAAUAAACUUCACGAGGUGAAAACUCAAAUUUCGAAGGCGAAUUUGGAGAUUCUAAAAUUUUCAAACCCGCCCCGGCUGGGGACGAACAAAUCCAAAAAAAUUUUCUGAUCGAUUUUGAUAUAUGGAACGUUGAAAUCGGAGUUCGUAUGUGAUGUUAAGGCUGUGUUACGAACGGACUCCGAAUUAGAGGACAAGACGGUCCGAAAGUGGAAAAAAUUUGCGGCGGUGGCUAGAAAUUGAUGGAAACGGUGGGGAAGAACACACGAACUGGACAACACACGAACUGGACUGUAACAAGACCUAACCAACAACAAGACCUGGACCAGGACACAAAUUCUAUGGUGCGGAAGGGUUGUAGAACAGGAAAAUGAUAUGACACUGGAGUUAUGGGACAAACACAAUAACACUCAAAACUAAGGGUAGAUGUGAACCUAACGGUAUACAUGAAACUUUGAUUACCACUUGAUGAGAACAAGGGUGGCCUGAUCUUCCGAAAGGUUCUGGUAUCUCUCGAUUUGGUGGAUACGAGAUACAAACUGAUCUGGGUUCCGAACAACACGAUCCGAAAUCCUGCAAUUUUUUUUAAUUUUUUGAUAUUUUUCUUUUACUUAGGAGCACUAAAGAAGUAACCACACAAAAUUUGAGCUUAAACAAGUGAAAGAAAAUUUGAGCUUAAACAAGUGAAAGACGUGGCCUGCAGAAUUUUUUGAAGAUUGCGAAAAAUGUGAAAUAAACUUCACGAGGUGAAAACUCAAACUUCAGAGGCGAAUUUGGAGAUUCUAAAAUUUUUAAACCCACCAAUGGCAGAGACAGACAGAUCCAAAAAUUUUUCUGACCGAUUUUGAUAUAUGGAACAAUAAAAUCGGUGUUCGUAUGUGAAAGUUAUGACUGUUUUACGCACGGACUCCGAAUUAGAUGACAAAACAGUGCGAAAGUGGGAAAAAUUUGCGGCGGUGGCUAGAAAUUGAAGGAAACGGUGGUGAAAAAUACACGAACUAGACUCUAACAAGACCUAACCAACAACAAGACCUCGACCAGGAACCAAACUCAACACUGCGGACUCCGAAGCUAAAAUAUGCAAUGGCUAUGGUGCGGAAGGGUUGUUGGACAGAAAAACGAUAUGGCACUGGACUUAUGGGAUGAACACAAGAACACUCGAAACUAAGGGUAGAUGUGAACCUAACGGUAUACCUGAAGCUUUGAUUACCACUUGAUGAGACCAAGGGUGGCUCGAUGUUCCGAAAGGUUCUGGUAACUCUCGAUUUGGUGGAGACGAGACACAAAUCGAUCUGGCUUCCGAACAACACGAUCCAAAAUCUUGCAAUUCUAUUUUGAUAUUUUUCUUUUCUUAGGAGCAGUAAAGAAGUAACCAUAGGAAACUUGAGCUUAAACAAGUGAAAGACGUGGCCUGCAGAAAUUUCUGAAGAUUGCGGAAAAUGUGAAAAAAAUUCACGAGGUGAAAACUCAAACUUUGGAGGCGAAUUUGUAGAUUCUAAAAUUUUCAAACCCACCAAUGGCAGAGACAGACAGAUCCAAAAAAAUUUUCAGACCGAUUUUGAUAUAUGGAACAUUGAAAUCGGUGUUCGUAUGCGAAAGUUAUGGCUAUUUUUCAAAUGGACUCCGAAUUAGAGGAUAAAAUGGUUCGAAAGUGGUAAAAAUUUGAGGCGGUGGCUAGAAAUUGAUGGAAACGGUGGGGAAGAAAUACAUAAACUGGACUUUAAGCAGACCUAACCAGCAACAAGACCCCAACCAGGACACAAACUCGACACUGCGGACUCAAAAACAGAAAUAUGUAAAGGCUAUGGCACGGAAGGAUUGUAGGACAGAAAAACGAUAUGGCACUAGACUUAUUGGACGAACACAAGAACACUCGAAACUAAGGGUAGAUGUGAACCUAAUGAUAUACCUAAAGCUGAUUACCACUGGAUGAGAACAAACGGUGGCCCGAUCUUCCCAAAGGUUCUGGUAACUCUCGAUUUGGCGGAUACGAGAUACAAAUCGAUCUGGGUUCCAAACAACACGAUCCGAAAUCCUGCAAUUUUUCUAAAUUUUUUUUAUAUAUUUCUUUUACUUAGAAGCACUAAAGAAGUAACCACAGAAAAUUUGAGCUUAACAAGUGAAAGACGUGGCCUGCAGAAUUUUUGGAAGAUUGUGAAAAAUGUGAAAUAAACUUCACGAGGUGAAAACUGAAACUUCAGAGGCGAAUUUGGAGAUUCUAAAAUUUUCAAACCCACCAAUGGCAGAGACAGACAGAUCCAAACUUUUUUUCUGACCAAUUUUGAUAUAUGGAACAAUGAAAUCGGUGUUCGUAUGUGAAAGUUAUGGUUAUUUUAAGAACGGACUCCGAAUUAGAUGGCAAAACGGUCCGAAAGUGGGAAAAAAUUGCGGCGGUGGCUAGAAAUUGAUGGAAACGGUGGGGAAAAAUACACAAACUGGACUCUAACAAGACCUAACCAGCAACAAGCCCCCAACCAUGACACAAACUCGACACUGCGGACUCUGAAACUGAAGUAUGCAGAGGCUAUGGCGCGGAAUGGUUGUAGGGAAGAAAAACGAUAUGGCACUAGACGUAUGGGACGACCACAAGAACACUCAAAACUAAGGAUAGAUGUGAACCUAAUGGUAUACCUGAAGCUUUGAUUACCACUUAAUGAGAACAAGGGUGACCCGAUCUUUCGAAACGUUCUGGUAACUCUUGAUUUGGUGGAGACGAGACACAAAUCGAUCUGGCUUCCGAACAACACGAUCCAAAAUCCUGCAAUUUUUUUUUUUGAUAUUUUUCUUUUCUUAGGAGCAAUAAAGAAGUAACCACAGAAAACUUGAGCUUAAACAAGUGAAAGACGUGGAGUGCAGAAAUUUCUGAAGAUUGCGAAAAAUGUGAAAAAAAAUCACGAGGUGGAAACUCAAACUUUGGAGGCGAAUUUGUAGAUUCUAAAAUUUUCAAACCCACCAAUGGCAGAGACAGACAGAUCCAAAAAAUUUUUCUGACAGAUGUUGAUAUAUGGAACAUUGAAAUCGGUGUUCGUAUGCGAAAGUUAUGGUUGUUUUACGAACUGACUCCGAAUUAGAGGACAAAACGGUCCGAAAGUGGGAAAAAUUUUUGACGGUGGCUAGAAAUUGAUGGAAACGGUGGGGAAAAAUACACGAACUGGACUCUAACAAGACCUAACCAACAACAAGACCUCGACUAGGACACAAACUCAACACUGCGGACUCUGAAACUGAAAUAUGCAAAGGCUAUGACGCGGAAGGGUUGUAGGACAAGAAAACGAUAUGGCACUGGACUUAUGGGACGAACACAAGAGCACUCGGAACUAAAGUGUAGAUGUGAACUUAACGGUAUACCUGAAGCUUUGAUUACCACUUGAUGAGAACAAGGGUGGCCCGAUCUUCCGAAAGCUUAUGGUAACUCUCGAUUUGGCGGAGACGAGACACAAAUCGAUUCGGCUUCCAAACAACACAAUCCAAAAUCCUACUAUUUUUUAUUUUUUUAUAUUUUUCUUUUACUUAGGAGCAAUAAAGAAGUAACCACAGAAAAUUUAAGCUUAAACA
rnacentral:lncRNA from 1 species